UGGAGACAGGUGCUGCAUGGCUGUCGUCAGCUCCGUGUCGUGAGAUGUUGGGUUAAGUCCCGCAACGAGCGCAACCCUUGCCUUUAGUUGCCAGCAGUUCGGCUGGGCACUCUAAAGGGACUGCCGGUGUUAAACCGGAGGAAGGUGGGGGAUGACGUCAAGUCCUCAUGGCCUUUAUGACCAGGGCUACACACGUACUACAAUGGCCGAUACAAAGGGCAGCGACACUGCGAGGUGAAGCCAAUCCCGUAAAAUCGGUCUCAGUCCGGAUUGGAGUCUGCAACUCGACUCCAUGAAGUUGGAAUCGCUAGUAAUCGUGAAUCAGAAUGUCACGGUGAAUACGUUCCCGGGCCUU
rnacentral:rRNA from 1 species